rnacentral:lncRNA from 1 species
CAUAGGUAAACGUAUGCCAUGGUGGUUUGCUGCACAGAUCACCCCAUCACCCGGGUAUUGAGCCCAGCAGCCAUUAGCUAUUGUUCCUAAUGCUCUCCCUCCCCCUCCAACAGGCCCCAGUGUGUGUUGUUCCCCCAUUGUGUCCGUGUGUUCUCAUCAUUCAGCUCCCACUUUGAAGUAACUUUUGAAAGACCAAACUGCAGUGGCCAAAAUAGGACCAGAAGCUAGCUGAACACAUUUUUCAGUAGGAUCUCCUUUCCUCCAUCUAUCUCUGCUCCCUGAUUCAAAGCCCUAAGUUCUUCCUGGAAGAUGUAAGAUGUUAUUGAACAGACACAUCGUGAGAGUCCGUUGCUUCCUCAGUUUUGAAGUUUUAUGGAAUCAACUCAGAAUCAGCUUCCACUGCACAUCUCCCUGCAGCUCUCCAAACAGACCAUCUUCCUGUGGACUCUUCCACCAAACACGGAGAGACUCUUCCAUUGAAGUGCAAUCAGAAACAUUGGCAAUGCAAAAAAGCGACAAAACUAUUUAGUGUGAACAACGCAUAGUAUAUCUGGAGAAGAAUGUAGAAGAGAAAUUAAAUUGACAGAAGAUUCUCAUGAGGCUCUUUGGAGGAUACUGGUGAAGAUCACAGACUCUGGAACCAGAGUGCCUGGAUUUAAUGUCUGUUUCUAUUGCUUAAUGACUGUGUGACCUUGGAUAAAUCACUCGACCUCUCUGUGCUUCACUUCCUGUAUCUCUAAAAUGGAUAUUGUCAUCUGCUUUACUGGGUUGUUGUAAAUAGUAAAUGAAUCAAUAAACAGAUGUAAGGUACUUAGACCACUGCUUGGCACAUGGAUUUAGAAUGCUGACCUGCUUAUUUUCAUAUGGAAGACAAUAAGCUGAUUCCCUGUAGAUUGAGCUAACGGCCAUCUGUUAUGAUGGGACAAUGCUGAUUCAAGAAGUGUCAUUUGCCACUUUAUCUGAUGUCAGGAGGCAACACAUGAAAUCUGAGGACCUUUAAUAACUCACAACACCUUGUGUGUAAGAUCCCCGGGGAAAGGCAACCCCAAAUUAGAAACAUGUUUCACUGGAAGGGCACUCACUUACUGAUACCUCAGGGACUCCACUUUGAGGGAUGCCUUUAUCAUUCAUACCUUUCCAUGGCAUGAAUGGAAAACUGCUGCAAUGCUGCUUCUGUCCUAAUGCAUUUCAUGAGUCAGCAUAUGACAAAGGGAAGGGACACCCAGGUCAGCCCCAUCAUUGUAUCUGAAACCAACACUUCGAAUAUAAUUGGAAUGAUUACAUACGAUUCUAGAUGUUGAGUGAUUAGCACAGCAAGUGGUGCCCAGUUGGUUGCUAUUAUUACUGUUGUUGUUGACAUUAUGAUUAUGCUUAUUUUGUGUUAUUUAUUAAAUGAAUAUACUUAUCCCGUA